rnacentral:tRNA from 1 species
GGGGCUGACGGGAAGGCGUUCCGCUGUUCCGGCCGGGGAGGUAGCCGACCGAACUCGGAGGCGUCAGCGUUAGAGCGGCCACUCUCCGUGAUUCGGGAUUCAUCGUCACCUCCUUGCCGAGACGAGACCGCCGGGCGAUCUCUGCCGGAGAUGCGGUUCGCCUCGCGGCGGGGCCCGGCUCGGACAUCGCGACUGCGAAGGAAUGUAAUCGCGGACACACUGACACUCAACGCAAACCUGAAGAAAAGUCAGGAAGUGCAGUCGACCUGCACUAAUGCGCCCAUAGCAGGCGACGAAGGUGCGGGUUGAACCGGCUUGGCGCGCCGUUCCGGCGUGACCGCGGCACGUAACCGACCCCCUGACGAAGGAGCUGAAGGCGGGGUGUACUGUAUGUCCAUACGAGAUGCGGAGUUCACCUCUGCUUCGGGGCUAUGGCGCAGCUGGUAGCGCACCUCACUGGCAGUGAGGGGGUCAGGGGUUCGAGUCCCCUUAGCUCCACC